rnacentral:rRNA from 1 species
UACGUAGGGUGCGAGCGUUGUCCGGAAUUACUGGGCGUAAAGAGCUCGUAGGUGGUUUGUCGCGUUGUUCGUGAAAACUCACAGCUUAACUGUGGGCGUGCGGGCGAUACGGGCAGACUGGAGUACUGCAGGGGAGACUGGAAUUCCUGGUGUAGCGGUGGAAUGCGCAGAUAUCGGGAGGAACACCAGUGGCGAAGGCGACUACCCUGGCCUGUUCUUGACGCUGAGGCGCGAAAGCUAGGGGAGCAAACGGGG